CUGCAACCAAUUAAGCCAAGUGUGCUCUUUCUCCAUGGGGGCCCCGUGUGCCAUGGCUGCAAACAGGAGCCUCCUUGGUAGUGUAUGCAGCCUGUUGAUUGUAUGGGUUGCCCAAAGGGACCUUGGAGACAGCU